rnacentral:rRNA from 1 species
GACGAACGCUGGCGGCGUGCUUAACACAUGCAAGUCGAACGGAAAGGCCCUGCGUUUGUGGGGUUCUCGAGUGGCGAACGGGUGAGUAACACGUGAGUAACCUGCCCUUGACUUUGGGAUAACUUCAGGAAACUGGGGCUAAUACCGGAUAGGAGCUCCUGCUGCAUGGUGGGGGUUGGAAAGUUUCGGCGGUUGGGGAUGGACUCGCGGCUUAUCAGCUUGUUGGUGGGGUAGUGGCUUACCAAGGCUUUGACGGGUAGCCGGCCUGAGAGGGUGACCGGCCACAUUGGGACUGAGAGACGGCCCAGACUCCUACGGGAGGCAGCAGUGGGGAGUAUUGCACAAUGGGAGGAAGCCUGAUGCAGCAACGCCGCGUGCGGGAUGACGGCCUUCGGGUUGUAAACCGCUUUCGCCUGUGACGCAGCGUGAGUGACGGUAAUGGGUAAAGAAGCACCGGCUAACUACGUG